rnacentral:rRNA from 1 species
GUGGUAAUGCCGGAUGCUCCAGUUGAUCGCAUGGUCUUCUGGGAAAGCCUUUGCGGCAUGGGAUGGGGUCGCGUCCUAUCAGCUUGAUGGCGGGGUAACGGCCCACCAUGGCUUCGACGGGUAGCCGGCCUGAGAGGGCGACCGGCCACAUUGGGACUGAGAUACGGCCCAGACUCCUACGGGAGGCAGCAGUGGGGAAUAUUGCACAAUGGGCGCAAGCCUGAUGCAGCGACGCCGCGUGAGGGAUGGAGGCCUUCGGGUUGUAAACCUCUUUUGUUAGGGAGCAAGGCAUUUUGUGUUGAGUGUACCUUUCGAAUAAGCACCGGCUAACUACGUGCCAGCAGCCGCGGUAAUACGUAGGGUGCAAGCGUUAUCCGGAAUUAUUGGGCGUAAAGGGCUCGUAGGCGGUUCGUCGCGUCCGGUGUGAAAGUCCAUCGCUUAACGGUGGAUCCGCGCCGGGUACGGGCGGGCUUGAGUGCGGUAGGGGAGACUGGAAUUCCCGGUGUAACGGUGGAAUGUGUAGAUAU